CGUACGAGUCUUUGGCGAUGGAGUUUUGACUGAUGUUCCAGUAACGCCAGAAACGACCAGUUCGGAUGUUAUUGAGUGCUGUAGAGACCCAGGGGAUGAAUCUUGUGAAUUAGUUGCAACGUGUCCUAAUCAUGGAGAGCGUCUCUUGCAAGAAUCGGAACACCCUUUAGAAAUCCUUCAACGAUGGGGUUCGGGACGUCUCCUCCUGAGGUAUACGGUGCUGAGCAGCAACGAGUCGGAUGCGCCAAGUCGCAGUUCAAAUGGCACUCGGUUUCCUGCUAAUCAAACUGAACACGAACACAAUUA